ACAAAAAAUAUUUCAAAUAUAAGGCUAUUAAAGUUCCGAGUAUAUAAAAGAGGAAAAUUGUUUAUUUUUCGUUGUAAUAUUCUAUUAAAAAUUUGAAAUUUACAAAUUAAACAUGAAUGUCUAUUCAUCAAUUUUUGUGACAAUUCUUUUACUUUUUUACUUAAUUGCAAUUGGAGAGGCAUAUUCUAAGGAAGUAGAUGGUCAUGUUUCAGCAAGCAGUAAUUUAUUUGCUUCGGUUAAUUUAAUUUUUCUCUGUUCCUCAAUAAUAUUUUAUUUAUAUUCACUUAUCUAAAUAUUAUAAAUAAUUACUCAAAAAUUAAUUAAAAAACAAAAAAUUUCUCGAUGUUAAAUAAAUAAUUUAAUAAAA